GUUUUCUAUCCUAACGCCGAGUUUGAGCCUGAAUCAUCAUAUCCAAAGAUUUCACGGCAUAUAUUUGGUGGAAUGCUCAUUGCUCCGAGUUUACUCUAGAAUUAACUGAGAAGAAAAAGGAAAGAUAAAAUAUUUUCCAGGGCGUUUUUUUUCUUCUUUGUCUUUGUUUAGGGAACAAGUAACAGUCCUUAUAAAUUACGUAAAUUCAAUAAAAUUUUAAUAAUUUUCCUAGCGAAUUCCACAUUGGAUGACUACAAUGAUGCCAAAUAAGUUUGGCUACACGUAGUCCCAAUCGCUAAGGAAGGGACCGCCCACGCUAUGGCUUCCAGAUGUUGUAAAACUACAAUUCCCAUCAUCCUUUCUCACUGGCCAGACUAGCAGAACUUCGUGGAAUUAGUUCCACAUCCAGCCUGUGCUAGGAUAUCUAGAUGCGCUAAUUUUAUAUAAGUUAGAAAUAUUGGGCAUGCUACAGCUUUGCCAAAAAGCCUAGCGAGCGCUGCAAAAAUCCCCCAAUCCGAACUCUGCGAGGGAAACAGCAGCAGCAGCAGCAACAGCCGCCUAAUUUUGCGCAUCCUUUUCCUUUUCAUCCAUGACAGGAGAGAAAAGGGAGAGAGAGGAAAUGGGCUUCAUUGAAAAAACUAGAUCGAGAAGAACGCUCCGAUAGGGCAAGCGAGAAGUCCCUCAAAUCUCCUCAGCCAAUGAGAAGAUCGAAUGGAGGGCUGAGAGGCGGGGGCCCGGAAGAGAAGUUCCAGGGAAGGAGACUCUUGUUUCUUUAAGUGGCGACAGAGUGGCAAAAAGCGACCGGGCGCCAGCAGCACGCGCAGCCACCAUGUUUCAGUUUUUGGUUGGUUUUGCACUUGGAAAUGUAGUUGGGAUGUAUCUGGCCCAGAACUAUGAAGUAAGUAUUUUUGCCUUUUUUGUAACAGUGAAACUUAAUCAAUUUGGUCACAAUUUUGUAGUAGAAGUGGUGAAUCACUCUGUUUCUGCUGCAAGUCAGUCUUGCAUGUUUACCAACAAUAUUUUUCUGCAUUAAAUUAUAACUAGUGCUCUCUCNCU
rnacentral:lncRNA from 1 species